rfam:Camelus ferus unplaced genomic scaffold scaffold320, whole genome shotgun sequence.
GAGGGUGUAGCUCAAGCAGUAGAGCGCAUGCCUGGCAUGCGCGAGGUCCUGGGUUCAACCCCCAGUGCCUCCU